rnacentral:rRNA from 1 species
UGGGGGAUAUUGCGCAAUGGGGGCAACCCUGACGCAGCAACGCCGCGUGAAGGAUGAAGGUUUUCGGAUUGUAAACUUCUUUUAUUAAGGACGAAACUUGACGGUACUUAAUGAAUAAGCUCCGGCUAACUACGUGCCAGCAGCCGCGGUAAUACGUAGGGAGCAAGCGUUGUCCGGAUUUACUGGGUGUAAAGGGUGCGUAGGCGGCUUUGCAAGUCAGAUGUGAAAUCUAUGGGCUCAACCCAUAAACUGCAUUUGAAACUGUAGAGCUUGAGUGAAGUAGAGGCAGGCGGAAUUCCCCGUGUAGCGGUGAAAUGCGUAGAGAUGGGGAGGAACACCAGUGGCGAAGGCGGCCUGCUGGGCUUUAACUGACGCUGAGGCACGAAAGCGUGGGUAGCAAACA